rnacentral:rRNA from 1 species
UUGAACGCUGGCGGCAUGCUUUACACAUGCAAGUCGAACGGUAACAGGUUAAGCUGACGAGUGGCGAACGGGUGAGUAAUGCAUCGGAACGUGCCCGAUCGUGGGGGAUAACGCAGCGAAAGCUGCGCUAAUACCGCAUACGAUCUGAGGAUGAAAGCGGGGGACCGUAAGGCCUCGCGCGAUCGGAGCGGCCGAUGUCAGAUUAGGUAGUUGGUGGGGUAAAGGCUCACCAAGCCGACGAUCUGUAGCUGGUCUGAGAGGACGACCAGCCACACUGGGACUGAGACACGGCCCAGACUCCUACGGGAGGCAGCAGUGGGGAAUUUUGGACAAUGGGCGCAAGCCUGAUCCAGCAAUGCCGCGUGCAGGAAGAAGGCCUUCGGGUUGUAAAGCUCUGUCUAGAGGGAAGAAAUGAUUUUGGGUUAAUACCCUGAUUUCUUGACGGUACCUCUGAAGGAAGCACCGGCUAACUCCGU